rnacentral:rRNA from 1 species
UUCCGGUUGAUCCUGCCGGACCCUACUGCUAUCGGGGUGAGACUAAACAAUGCAAGUCGUGCGUCUCAAGCUAUGGUGAGACGCGGCAAACGGCUCAGUAACACGUGGCCAACCUACCCUUAGGACGGGGACAACCCCGGGAAACUGGGGCUAAUCCCCGACAGGCGAAGAGGCCUGGAAUGGUUCUCCGCUCAAAGGGCAUUGGGGACAUGCUUCCCAGCGUUGCCUAAGGAUGGGGCCGCGGCCGAUCAGGUUGUUGGUGAGGUAACGGCCCACCAAGCCUUUAACCGGUACGGGCCAUGAGAGUGGGAGCCCGGAGAUGGGCACUGAGACAAGGGCCCAGGCCCUACGGGGCGCAGCAGUUGCGAAAACUCCGCAAUGCGCGAAAGCGUGACGGGGCUACCCCGAGUGCCAUCCGCUGAGGAUGGCUUUUCCACGGUGUAAGGAGCCGUGGGGAUAAGGAGAGGGCAAGCCUGGUGUCAGCCGCCGCGGUAAUACCAGCUCUCCGAGUGGUGGGGACGAUUAUUGGGCUUAAAGCGUUCGUAGCCGGCUCAGCAAGUCUUCCGUUAAAUCCAACGACCUAAUCGUUGGGCUGCGGGAGAUACUGUUGGGCUAGGGGGCGGGAGAAGCCGACGGUAUCCUCAGGGUAGGGGUGAAAUCCUAUAAUCCCGGGAAGACCACCAGAGGCGAAGGCGGUCGGCUAGAACGCGCCCGACGGUGAGGGACGAAAGCUGGGGGAGCGAACCGGAUUAGAUACCCGGGUAGUCCCAGCCGUAAACGAUGCGGGCUAGGUGUUGGGGCGGUCACGAACCGCCUCAGUGCCGCACGGAAGCAAUUAAGCCCGCCGCCUGGGGAGUACGGUCGCAAGGCUGAAACUUAAGGAAUUGGCCGGGGGGAGCACCCACAAGGCGUUGAAGCUUGGCGGUUUAAUUGGAGUCAACGCGGA